GUCGGAGUUCUGUCUCUUUAAAAUCGCUGUUUCUCUCUUCACAAUGUGCUUUGUUUGGUAACUGGAUGAGGCAACGAUCGGCGUGAUUAAGGGUUUUAGCGAAUGAGUUAGGGUUAGAGUUCUUGUACUAGUUGUAAGAUUCGUGAACAAAGCUUAAAAUGAAUAUCAAUUUCUACUCUCUAUUGUGUGUUUUUAGGAGUUUAUUUGGGAAAUGAGCUUGUUUGUUAACUAGGUUUAAGUCAUAUCAAGUUUGAUUAUGGCUUGUACGGUAUAUUUUGCAUGCAGAGCAUCGAUUGAAAUAUGAAUUUGAAGGUUGUUUUAGAUGCUUUUUAGUGGAAGAGAUAUUGUUUGGGGAGAAAAUUGGGGCUUUUUAGAUAAUUUAGAUAAUCCAAACGUGGAAUUUGAGUUUUAUUUUGUAAAUUUCACUCUUUUCUUUUUCUUUUUUUUUG
rnacentral:misc_RNA from 1 species